rnacentral:rRNA from 1 species
GAUGAACGCUGGCGGCGUGCCUAAUACAUGCAAGUCGAGCGGUAAGGUUCUGCACCUAGUAUUUGAACAGAUAAGUCCAACUUGUUGGAUACUGUCUGAAAACAUUUUUCUCACGGCUUGAGAAGAAUGGUCGAAUAUUAAGUGUAGAAUACACGAGCGGCGGACGGCUGAGUAACGCGUAGGAACGUACCCCAAAGUGAGGGAUAACUGCUCGAAAGAGUAGCUAAUACCGCAUGUGGUCUUCGGAUUAAAGCUUCGGCGCUUUGGGAGCGGCCUGCGUAUGAUUAGAUUGUUGGUGAGGUAAUGGCUCACCAAGUCUACGAUCAUUAGCUGGUCUGAGAGGAUGAUCAGCCAGACUGGGACUGAGAACCGGCCCAGACUCCUACGGGGAGGCAGCAGUAGGGUAAUUUUCCACAAUGGACGAAAGUCUGAUGGAGCAACGCCGCGUGCAGGAUGAAUG